rnacentral:rRNA from 1 species
GAUGAACGCUGGCGGCGUGCCUAAUACAUGCAAGUCGAGCGAACGGACGAGAAGCUUGCUUCUCUGAUGUUAGCGGCGGACGGGUGAGUAACACGUGGAUAACCUACCUAUAAGACUGGGAUAACUUCGGGAAACCGUAGCUAAUACCGGAUAAUAUUUUGAACCGCAUGGUUCAAAAGUGAAAGACGGUCUUGCUGUCACUUAUAGAUGGAUCCGCGCUGCAUUAGCUAGUUGGUAAGGUAACGGCUUACCAAGGCAACGAUGCAUAGCCGACCUGAGAGGGUGAUCGGCCACACUGGAACGGAGACACGGUCCAGACUCCUACGGGAGGCAGCAGUAGGGAAUCUUCCGCAAUGGGCGAAAGCCUGACGGAGCAACGCCGCGUGAGUGAUGAAGGUCUUCGGAUCGUAAAACUCUGUUAUUAGGGAAGAACAUAUGUGUAAGUAACUGUGCACAUCUUGACGGUACCUAAUCAGAAAGCCACGGCCAACUACGUG